AUCAUAAUAAUUCAACCCAAGCCAAUGGUAUUUGAUUACGUCAUGCGUAAAACCACGUUUCAUCUAAAUUAUAUUAUUAUGUCUAUUUAAUUCACGAUAUAACUUAAUCCUACGCCACUGUUUUAAAAUAAUCUAAAGGCGGGACUCCACCAAAAUGGGCUAGCCCGGCGGCAUUUGCGGCCUUGCCGCCGGCAUAAAAUGACGCGGCUUUGCCGCGGACUUACAAUCGACUUCACCAUACUGGGCAGAUGUGUCGGCUUGUAGAGAGUUCUUGUUCUUCAUCCGAGAAUGUUUGACGACGACGAAUUUUUUUUGUUAGGGUAUAUGGCCCUAAAAAUUAUUACCAAGAAAAAAACAAGAGGAAGCACAGAUUUUGGUGAUUUAAGAAGUGAUGAUUGUGGUUUAGUGCCUGGCCAUACUAUCAGAAGCUCUUUUCAAAAUUUUGUUAGAAUGAGUGCAACAGAUUUUGAGGAACUAAUUUGCUUAAUUGGAUUAAAAAUCGCUAAACGCAACAUAAAUUACAGAAAUGCUAUACCAGUUGAGGAUCGAUUGGCAGUAACAUUGCGAUUCCUAGGCACAGGCGAUUCAUAUGUUAGCCUAAGCUACACUUUUAAGAUAUCAAAGCAGUUAAUUAGAAUUAUUGUACCUGAGGUGUGCCAGACAAUAAAAGAAGCUCUCAAGGAACAAAUAAAAGUACCAGCAACAAAAGAAGCUUGACAGAGAAUUGCUGAUCAAUUUUUUAUAAAAUGGAAUGUUCCUAAUUGCAUAGGAGCGAUGGAUGGUAAGCACGUCGCACUUCAGUCACCAAUACAUAGCGGAACAGAUUUUUUUAACUACAAAUCUUUUUUUAGUAUUGUUUUGUUAGCAAUUGUCGAUGCCAAUUAUAACAUAAUAUAUGCUAAUGUCGGAAGCCAAGGUAGGAUAUCUGACGCAGGAGUUUUCAAUAAUUGUAGUUUUAAACAAAAAUUAGAAAGCAACGAGCUAAAUUUACCUGAUCCUCGCGCUCUAUCUGGACGAGUACAACCUGCUCCUUACGUAAUACUUGCAGAUGACGCUUUUCCAUUGGCCCAAAAUAUAAUUAAACCAUAUCCUGGCACACAUAAAGAUGGUUCCAAAGAAAGAAUAUGUAAUUACAGAAUAAGUUGAGGAAGAAGAAUGUCAGAAAAUGUAUUUGGGGUCUUGGCUUCAGUUUUUAGAGUAUUUAGAAAACCAAUGUUACUUCAAGAAACCACUGCUACUGAAGUAACAUUGGCAUGCUUGUAUUUACAUAAUUUUAUGAGACGCAACACAGAGACUCGAUCUCGUUAUAACCCACCAGGCACAUACGACAUAGAAGAUACAGAAACAGGGACAAUUCUACCAGGAUCGUGAAGAAUGGACAGUUUAACCAAUGACACAUUGUUGCCGCUUGCUAGAACUCCUCGAAAACCUGCAAAUAUACCACAAAAAAAGGGAUGAAUUUUGUGAAUAUUUCGUUAACGAGGGUAAAGUCGAUUGGCAACAUAGAUACGCAUAGCUUUUUUUUAAUAUCUUAGUAUCAGAUAAAGUCGAGGUCCCCUCUUAUAGGACUACCCUGUACUUAUGUUGGCAUAAUUAUCUUUUGUAUUCCGCAUUAAAAAAUCAAUAAAAGAUUCGUUAAACUUA